GGGUAGGAUACUGGUGAAGACGGAACUUACUGCUUUAUCCUCUUCUGGCUUUUCCAAUUAUUCUAUACUGAAUAUGUCCUGCUUAUAUAAUGAGAUUAAAUAUACUAAAUGUUAUUUUUAAACAUUUAAAAAGUGCGAACCCCUGAGAUGAAACACUCACUGGGCAAGCACGGGGCAGGUGGCCGUCCUCCCAGGGCAAAGCCUCAUCACCAGCUUUUGUCCUCUUCCACCGCAAGGACACCAACCAGCUCAAGAGCACCGUCCAGGUCUGUGGGAUUUCGGGGCAGCUAAAUAAAGCUCUUGGCUCUGUGGGGGCUGAGCCCCCCAAACACAAGACUCCCACAGAGAAGUCAAGUCAUGUGACAGCUUUUCGCACUGAGCCAAGGCAGGAGCCAGUGGCCAGUUCUGCCCUGUGACACACACACUCAGCCUCCAGCAGUCACAUGGAUUCCAGCUGCCACCACUUGCCCUCUGUGCCUGACCUGGUACUCUUUCCCUGGCAGGCCUCCUGAGCUGACUUGUCCCUCCAAACUAUGGCUUGGCAGACAAUUAGACUGACAGACUGAGUGCCAACAGGCUUCGACAGCUCCGUCUCAGCUGACCUCGAGGUGGGAACCCUUCCAGGAGUGUCCUGGACACCAUGGAGUGUGCCCCACAGGGAAUUAGGUGCCUUACUGGCCUGAAGUAGAAUCAAACAGAGCUGUUGGCAGUGGGUUCACCACAGCCAACCACAGCCAGCACCCCCAGGAGCAGAGAGCUUGAGUCCUGGGUGUUGAGUGAGGCUAUGGAGGCAGCCAAGGGCAUCAUCCAGCAUAGCUCAUGGGGAGGCUGGAAGUCAGGCAUUGCUGGGCUUUGGAGAGCAGGACAAAGGCAAAUACAGAAAGUGCCAUCGAUGUGAACGCUCCUCAAAUAAAAUUCAACCCCAAACAAAACAAAACAAAGCACCCAACUCCGACACAAUAGUAAUCAACUGGGAACCAUUUUCCAUAAGGGGACGUUUGGCAAUGUAUGGAGACACCUUGUAUUGUCAAAACUGUGGAUGUACCGCUGUCACUAGUGGAGAGAGGCCAAGGAUGCAAUCAUGGAGUGUCCUAGGUUUGUCUGGCCCCAGUAUGGACAGUGCUGUGGUAGUCAAGUUCUGGUCUGAACGUAUUCCUGAAGAAUAUUUGAACAGGGGCCUACAAAUCACCUCAGAGGAAUAACUCAUGGCUGUCUUUACAGACUUGGAACUCUUCAGAGCCUGACUAGUGCCCUCAAAUUCAAGGCCAAAGCUUCAGCACAUGCACGAUUUAGCUUCCAUGAUCUCGGCCUGACUUCUCCUCAGCCUUACCUCUUGUUAGGUUUUGUCCACACCAAACUAUUCACAUGUUCGAUGUGCUCUAUGACUCUUGCUUGUAAGAAAGGGGUUCUGCUUCUGGCCUCGAAUUCUCUCCUCUCCCUUCUGUCUGGCAAAUACCCUGGCUGUUGGGUCAGCUGUGACAUUUCCUCUCCCCUUGUCUCCGUCCCACAUCUUCCACAAAGCUACUCCGCCAUAACAUCAAACAGGGUGCUGGGAUGGUUGUGUGUCAGUCUCUGCCACCAAACUGGGCUCCCCAAGAAUAUUGGUCUCUCUCCCCAGUGCCAAAAGAGACCGUAAACAAAGGGAGCUGCCCACUGGUCACUGAUGUUUCCCUCACCAUGUAGUGAAGGGGCACACCUGGCCCUCGAUGACAGAAGAUAACUUGAGGAACUGAAGAAAAUGUAAAGGAAGAAUGGCGUCAACUGGUCACCCAAAGAAGGCAAGACAGCGAGGGGGACCGCCCAGUAGAUUAAGCACUUGCUCUGAUAUGUGAGGACCAGGGGCCAGAUCCCCAGAAUCCUUUUUUUUUUGUUGUUGUUGUUGGUUUUCUUUUGUUUUUGUUUUUUUUUUUAAGUAGGCCAGAGCAGAGACAAGAGAUCCUCAUGGAAAUCUGGCUAACUAAACUAGCCAGAAUCAGCAAACCCCAGGAUCAGCAAGAAGCCCUGUCUCAGUCAUUAACAGUGGCUGAGAACCUUGGCAUCAUUUGGGAUCAAAAUCACAAAGAACAGAACAGGUAGUAUGACUAAAACAGGCACUUCGAAUAGUUUCCUUGACACAUAUCCAUUAAAGUUUUUACUUUAUAAUUUUAUGACUUCAAUUCUGAUUGUUUAGGAGGCAUAAUUAUUUUUUCUUGUGAAGAAAUAUGCUGUUUUGUCAAUGUGUAUCAUCUCUUAAGACACUAAUGGAAAAGAAAGAGUUAAAUCUCCAACGAAAUAACUAAUAGUGAAAGAGACACUCAGCAUGAGCAUCAACUUCCAGCCCACAUGUACACAUACACACGUUCACUCAUGAGACACACACACACACACACACACACACACACACACACACACACAGAAGGAAAUGGGGACAGGAAAGAGCAUUGAAGGACCAAAGAAGACUCAGAGAGUCAUUUUGUGUGGGAAAUCAAAAGGGAGGUAGACAGUCAAUUCCAGAAGAGGCUCUGUAGGCUCCUGAUACACCUUAGGCUAGACAUGUGGCAUCUAAGAGUGGGGUUUCUGCACAUGCUUGGCAGUGCUUGGCAUGAAGAUCCAAAGAUUUGGUAAUUUACACAAGUACAUGAAGACUCACUUUUUCUCAAAUCACCCACAUAGAGAAGGCAAAGUGGUAAGAUGUCUUUCUAUUUUACGUAUGAAGAUGCCUGGGCUCAAGGAGGUGAAGGAAUUGUCUCCCAGUUCCCAAGUACUGUCCCUUCUUCCCUUGCCCUUUGGGGUACACCAUUCUGUGCCAGCCAGGGCAAUACCAAGCUGCUUGUUUUUACAUUGUUGGUUUUAUUUCAAUGAGCAUCCCCAGGAGACAGUAAAUGAAGAACAAUUCUCCAAUGCAUCCCCUGUAUCCUCGUUUUGAAGGAGCUUUGUUGGGAUGUGGUUAACCCAUAAUGAAACACACAUUGAAAGUGUAUACCUGAGUUAGAGUUGGCUUAUGUGUGAUCCCUAUAACAUCCCCAAAUUAAAAUGAUGUCUUCUCCUCUUCUA